GAGAAAUAUGCAACUGCGAAGUUCUCACGGGAGAAGUCCUGAGCACACUGCAAGGCAUCCUGGGACCACAGUCUCAAGGGUCACAGAGGAAGGGACUUCGGGGCUGAGACCUGCAGGAAGUGAGGGAACUGCAGGCCUGUCCUCACCCAGGGGAGGUGGAGCCCCCAGACGCUGUGAUAUGAAAUUCCAGAUCAUGGGAGGGAGAGUUUGAAGAAGGAAGAACCACCAAUAGAAAGCGGUCCCCAAAGAGGUAUCGGGGAUGGCACCCAGACAGGAGCACAUGUACCACUGCCCAGAAUGUGCAUUUCACUAGACAAGUGACCACAAAAGGCAAGUGGGAGCUAAACCCUGCCUCUACUCGCUCACAGAGCCACAGGUCCUGGCGCUGGCUGCAUCUCCCUACUCACCUGGUUGAUGAGGCCCCUUUUUCUAAUUCACACAAAAGCACCCUGAGCUAACAGCAGCUCCAGACCUGCAGAAUAGGUAAGCAGACAGAUGGGCAAAGGGCCAGGCACUUCCUCACCCUAACCCCCAGCCCUGGCCUCCGGGAGAGCAAACCAAAGCCCAGACCCUGACAGAAGAGCCUGAGGAACUGGCACCGUGGCUCACAGGGAGCUGGUCUUCCCUGGGACACCAGGAUGCAGCUAAGAGUUUCUCAAAUCUCAGGAGUUUGAGUCCAAAAGCCUCCCUGGAGAAUGAAUGUCCACAAAAUAUAUCUUACAGAAAGAUGCUCUUUGAAGGAUUGCAGGAUGUGGUGAGGUCAUUAUCUACAGAGGUCAAAGGUUGAGACAUGAGGAUGGAACACUUAACACUUAAUAUUAGAAAUCCUGUGUUUCAAACACCUUUCUCAGAAACGCCGGCCUGCGCAAAUAUCUUAAUACAUAAACUAAUGCACUAGUGACACAUUAAAUUUAUUACCACACGCUUUAAAAAUGGAAAUUAAAUGUUCCUGAUUAUGCUGUGUUUUAAAUGCUUUUCUCACAGGAGAAAAAAGUGCAUUUGGGGUUGACAUUUGCUUAAGCAGAAUAACUAAAAACAAAGAGGAUUAGCAUACAUUCUAUCUCAAACAACAGAACCAGAUGUCUGGAGUCUUCAUGAAUUCACUGUCCACAUAAAAUGUCCCACACCUCUGGGUUCAGGGAUCAGAAUAAUUUGGAUUAAAUAUUCAGGAUUUUUGUCUCUUGUGAAGAGGAAACAUGUUGGCAUAAACCAAAAACUGGCCAAGGCCAAGUGGUGAGCUCAAGAGACAGGAGGCGCAUGUGGACAGAGGUGUGAAAAAACCCAGUGGUUCUCUCUGAAGAUGAGUAUCUCCUCCAUGUCCCUUCCACUCCUGGGGCCGCUAACAGUCACUUGACAGACAAGCAAGGAUCAGGUUAAGCCUGGGCUGCUGGUGAUAAAAUGAGCGCCGGUGGGCAGCGCCCUGCAGUCCCGGCGGCCGAUCUGUGUGGCUGCCCUCACUGGCCACAUCACUCACCUCUGACCUGAAUUCCACCCACCAUUGUGCCCUGGAGAAAAUUCAGGUUCAAGGAAAACAAGCACUAGUCAUGUUGCCUAAGGCCAUUCUGAUUCAGGAAGUCACCUGUGAUCCCCUUGACAAAACUAUCACUGUUCUUCUCCCUCAGUUUUCACUGUGACUUGAAAAUGCCCACUCCUCCCAGAAGUUCAAGGAACUGGACCCCCGGACAUGAGCCCAAGGUUCGCCGGCUUCAAAGAUCCUGGCCACACACCAGUGAGCCUGGCAGAGGCAGGCUUCUGGUCCUCUUUCCCAGUGAUUUCCUGCUGGCCUGACACCAAACUCCACUUUCCCUGAAUGACUCUAAUAAAAGUUUAUCAAAACUCCGAUGACUGCAAAAGAAACUGGAGAUCCGAGGGCAGUCCCAGCUCGAAGCACUGAAGGAUCGGCUGGCAACCUUUGCACUGGCACUCCCAGCCUGAGAGUGACUCCAAUCUAAACAGCCCUAAUUGGACCUCCCCGUGGUUUUCAAUUAAAGUGUAAAUUGGGAGGGCUGUUAAUUUAGGAGAAGAUGGGUCCUGGGUCAGCUGAAAAUCGCUCUGUCUGCAGAGGCCACAUCUCAUUAACGUUCUGGGUUGGGGUUUUUGUCCUGCUACUGUUUGCCAGAAAGGGGGGUAGUUCACACCAGAAGAAAGCUGGAGGUCCCUGCAGAUCCCUAGGAAGGCUCAUUCUCUAAAACAUUCUUCAGGCUCAAUUCACAUUCUCCUUUAGAACAGUGGAAAUGAAUCAAGAUAAUUGUUUUUUAAAAGUCUAGUGACAUAAGGUAGCUGGACGAUGAAGCAGGUCUGUUCACCUAAGCUCUACCGCGUUUACGGGCAGUCUGCAUGGAUCAGGGAGUGAGACGGUCAAGUUCUGAAGGUGACUUCCCCUUGGGCUGGAGGCGGGGCCUCAGUCACAGUUGUUUCCUGGCAGCCCUCCUGGCCAGCCAAGUGCCAACUGUCACCAGCCCGAGGUGACUGAUUCAUUCCUUCUGCCAGCAGCAGGUCAGCUGCUCAGAAACGUGUCAGUGCAGGAUUAAAAACAGUGAGUGUGAGGCGGAGUGUAGGGGCGGAGAAAUCACUUAAAUGACAGAACUCAGGGGAGCAAGUCUGCACAAAUGAAAUCACCUUCUUAGGGAGACCAGCAGGGAAGACCCAGAACAGGCAAAGAUUAGCACACAACACGGGCAGAGGGAGUUACGCCUACCGCCUGCAUGUUCCUCUAAACUUCUAAUCUGACCCCACUCUCCAUCCAGGAGUGGGCUCUCAGCAAUGUUCACAAAGGUGACGGGCAAGAAAACCAUCAUGCACUGUACACAGGGGCAACUGUCACACACAUUCUCCACCACGAUCACUGUCAUCCCCAUCAUUAUCACCACCAUCAUGAUCAACAUCAAACUAAAACCAACCCAGACAGCACUGCCCCAACGCAUGCAAAUACACGCUGAUAGAAACAAAAUAGGAAAAUACGUACCCUGCCCCUUGUGGUUGACUUCUUUGGCAGCGAUGACUUUGUUUAUAACAGUCUGAAGGAAGUCAUUCUCCCCUGCCACCCUGGGUGAAAAACGGGAUGACAUGUUCAGCGGCUUGUGUCGAAUGGCGUCGUCCAACGCGAGCCUGGAGGGCACGGGACGACCAAGACCACAGGAGACAAAGGGGCACAGAGACCCAUGGGCCACGGUAACAAGGGAACAUAAGAGAUCAUCGUCACCGAGUGCGAGAGGGAGGCAUCAUGAGUCAACGCACGACAAAGGAUGGGAGAGGUGACAAGAGAAACAGGGAAAAGCAUUGAUCAGGAAAAUGCUGAACCACGAGAGGGAACAGAGCAAAUGAGGGCAACCCUCUCCCCAGGAAUAAACGUGCACCAGGCCUCCACUGCAUCUCCAUCAGACUCUUGUGUUUAAAAAAAGGAGCUUGUCUGAAAGCCACAUGGUUGAAAGGCAUUUAAUCCCAAAGAAUGUUUAUGGCCAUUCCUCCAAUUUCAAUUAAUUCUGAACAUAGCAUAGGUCAAGGGGCAGGUUGAUCUAAAGGGAAAAGCAAAAUCAAGAUUUAAAAAAAAAAAAAUCCCUGGAACCUAACUGCUUGCAAAGGCUUUCUACUCUACCCUCCUGGACUACGUACACAAUAGUCCCUCAAGUGACUACAUGUGAGAAGAAUGGUACCGUGUGUGGAGAACACCACUGCCUAGUCCCACGUGUGGCGCUGUUAUGAACACAGACCACCCACGUUUUCAGGGCCCAUGAACCAGGAGCCUGUGACAGAUGCUGCGCUGUACGAGAGACUGGCUACAAACGGGGGGCAUAUGCCCAAAUAGAAAUACCAUGUAGCACAGCGAAGUGCACUAUGAAAUGAGCAAGAAAAUAGACAGCAUGGCCAUAAUGUUUAAAAUCAAUCCUGGGAACAAGGACAGUGCUAUCCAUCACUUGAGCCACAUGACUCGAGGGAACUGAAGACUGUUGUCAUUUACGUCACCAAGUUAAAAAAGACAGGGAGGGAGGGAGAUGUGCAAUGUGCUUCCUUCUCUAAAACCAACCCUGUGAGAUAAUAAAUCAGUUUUAAUGGAGCAAAAAAUGGUUUCAUUAGCACGACAUUUCCCAAAGAACUGGUUUCACUGCUUAUUUUGCUAUUAAAAAUCAUGCUGUUCUUUUGUUUCCAAC
rnacentral:lncRNA from 10 species